CUUUGCCUCCCAGUCUGGGUUUCCACCUCAGCUUGGCCGUUGCAGCAGGUGCUCCCCGUGUUUCUUUCAAGAGAGAAGGCAGGCUGCCUGUCACCCUCCACGCGGGCAAGCUGCGAGCGUGCUGUGUUCCUGUACGUGCUGUGCUCGUGCAUGCUCGCGCCCUCUGGAGCUGCUCUUUGAGGCGUGAGAGCGACUGUCGGUUCUCCUGACCCUGCCCGCACCUGCUCAGCUGCUCUCGUGAUUGCUGGAAGCUCGUGGCAGCUCUCCCCUUGCGUUGGGACCCCGCCUCCCCUGCUAGGUGUGCGGCGCUGGAGCCGAUCGCCUCAAAGUGACCGUUGGAGACAGGACCGUUAGGCCGUUUAAACUUCCCGCCCUUGCGUCUGGCCGCCACCGCCUGGUCUCAGCGGCUCGCAGGGGGCUGGCGGGUCCUGGCUGCUCACCCUGGCGGCCCCUCGAUUCCAGGACUUCCCCACAUACGCUGCAGUUCUCCCCGCUGCUGCAGGACGUGUCUGCGCCGGAGCUGAUCGCCUCAGAGCGUCGAUGUUCUUCGCACUUUAUUUAAGAUUUGGCAGUGGACAUGAGAGUGUUUUGCUGGAGAUCUUCACCUACGUGAGGCCUUCUAAAGCGCACUGUCUUGGUGAGCAUUUGCCUGCAUUCCCAAGGAGGCUAAUCCAUCCUAGAUACAGUACGUGUAACUUCCGGGAAGUCUAAAGUGCUUCAACGAUAAGGAACGUGCGGUGUUCUCUGAAAUCGCUGUUUCACUCAGGCAGAUGUGCAUGCAUAUAUCUGCAGGAGACAACCAUAAAGCAUCAUCCUGAAGUCAUCCUAGCUAAAAAAAAAACAACCCAGCUCCAAAGAAACCACCAGGCAAGUUCAUUUAUUUUUUGUCUCCUUUAGGCAAGUGACCUGGAGUCAUGAAAAUGGGAAGAGAUUGCUCUGAGAAGAGCAUUCAUGAG
ensembl:lncRNA